rnacentral:rRNA from 1 species
CGACCGGCGCACGGGUGAGUAACACGUAUGCAACCUGCCCUCUUCAGGGGGACAGCCUUCCGAAAGGGAGGCUAAUCCCGCGUAUAUCGGUUUCGGGCAUCCGAGAUCGAGGAAAGAUUCAUCGGAAGAGGAUGGGCAUGCGGCGCAUUAGCUAGACGGCGGGGUAACGGCCCACCGUGGCGACGAUGCGUAGGGGUUCUGAGAGGAAGGUCCCCCACACUGGUACUGAGACACGGACCAGACUCCUACGGAAGGCAGCAG